rnacentral:rRNA from 1 species
GACGAACGCUGGCGGCGUGCUUAACACACGCAAGUCGAACGGAAAGGCCCUGCUUUUGUGGGGUGCUCGAGUGGCGAACGGGUGAGUAACACGUGAGUAACCUGCCCUUGACUUUGGGAUAACUUCAGGAAACUGGGGCUAAUACCGGAUAGGAGCUCCUGCUGCAUGGUGGGGGUUGGAAAGUUUCGGCGGUUGGGGAUGGACUCGCGGCUUAUCAGCUUGUUGGUGGGGUAGUGGCUUACCAAGGCUUUGACGGGUAGCCGGCCUGAGAGGGUGACCGGCCACAUUGGGACUGAGAUACGGCCCAGACUCCUACGGGAGGCAGCAGUGGGGAAUAUUGCACAAUGGGCGGAAGCAUGAUCCAGCAACGCCGCGUGCGGGAUGACGGCCUUCGGGUUGUAAACCGCUUUCGCCUGUGACGAAGCGUGAGUGACGGUAAUGGGUAAAGAAGCACGGGCUAACUACGUG